rnacentral:rRNA from 1 species
GACGAACGCUGGCGGCGUGCUUAACACAUGCAAGUCGAACGGAAAUGCCCUGCUUUUGUGGUGUGCUCGAGUGGCGAACGUGUUAGUAACACGUGAGUAACCUGCCCUUGACUUUGGUAUAACUUCAGGAAACUUGGGCUCAUACCGGAUAUGAUCUCCUGCUGCAUGGUGGGGGUUGGACAGUUUCGGCGGUUGGGGAUGGACUCGCGGCUUAUCAGCUUGUUGGUGGGGUAGUGGCUUACCAAGGCUUUGACGGGUAGCCGGCCUGAGAGGGUGACCGGCCACAUUGGGACUGAGAUACGGCACAGACUCAUACGGGAGGCAGCAGUGGGGAAUAUUGCACAAUGGGCGGAAGGCUGAUGCAGCAACGCCGCGUGCGGGAUGACGGCAUUCGGGUUGUAAACCGCUUUCGCCUGUGAAGAAGAGUGAGUGACGGUAAUGGGUAAAGAAGCACCGGCUAACUACGUG